rnacentral:rRNA from 1 species
AUGUCCAUUGUCGGUCUUCCUAAUUCUGUUGUCUUGCCUAUAGUUGCUGCGGCCCCUCUCUUUGCUGGUGCAUUGGCUGCUGUGCUAGAUAUUUCGUCUUUGGGCUCUUCUUGCUUGGUGGAUAUUCAUAUGUACGGAGAUGCUGGCUGCCCAUCUAUUUUGCAAAGGACAAUUUCUUCCAGUUCUAAUGUGCGCACGAGUGGGGGGCGUCAGGGUUCGUUGUCAGCUAGCUGUCUGAAUCUUCGUGCUUCGGAUUUGUCUCAUGAUCUGCUGCACGUACGACACGUACGACAAGGGGACAACAGAAUUCUACUGAAUUGUGGCGGCGCCAUCGAGAGAUUCAUGAAUGAAAUGUCCUGUGUUGGGUUCUUCAGAUUAUGCCUGAACCAGCAGGAGCCUCCGAAGCAGCAAGAGAGUAAUGGAUGGGGAAACUGGCAGAUCCGUUUGUGUGGACGACAGCUCGAUGGUGGCAACUCGGCUAGGUUUGCCGUGAGAAGGCCAGACUACGCGAGAGAUUUGGCGUGUGUAGUUUAUGUUGUUGGUAAUUACGGUGGAGUGUGGUUAGAUUAUCAGCUUUUUUAG